rnacentral:tRNA from 1 species
GGGAUUGUAGUUCAAUGGUCAGAGCGCCGCCCUGUCAAGGCGGAAGCUACGGGUUCGAGUCCCGUCAGUCCCG